UAUUUUAUUUAAUUUCCAAUGUCAGAAAUAUUAAGUUAAACUCUAAAGUGUAUUAUUGUGCGGUACAUAAUAUUUGAUGUUGGCCAGUGAUUUAAUUAGAUGCGUGCGUCAACAAUAUGAAUAUUCAUGAAUAUGAGUAAUAGACACGAAAUUUUAAUAAAAUUUCAUGACUCAUUAAUAUUAUACUCACUGGUACACAAAAUAGUUGACAAGCUUAAUUAAUUAUCGAGUAGAAAGAGCUACAAUAUUAUUCUCUAAUUUAAUUUAUAAAAUAUUAAAACAUUGUAGUUGAGAAAAGAUUUGAGAAAACACGAGGUGUUAUAUUGUGCGGGUCCGAUAUUUAGAUUGAACACGAGAGUUUUGUUUAUACAAGAAUAUAGUAGUCUCGGAUAUCUAUUUAUAUACUGACCGGUGAAUAAUCUACAUUCUAGUCGAAAUAAUUUAUUUAUAUAUAUUUGGAAUUUAUCAGAAAUAUUAAAAUAAAUAAUAGUUGAUUUAUUUAUUCUUUUUGUAAAAUAUUUAAAUAUUUAAAUAUUUGUCGGACAAAAACCGAAACGAGAAUAAACGAGCCAAGCCGUGGAAUAUUUUUAACGUAGCGGGACUUGAGCCCAAGUUUCGAAACUUGGAGCCCGAGGCUACUGAGUAACGCCCAAGAAAAAUUGUGUAGCCUCCAAGUAAACAAAUAAAUUAAAAGUGAUUAGUGGAGUAUUAGCAAGUGCUAAAGUAUGAUUAAAUACUAAUGGUAAUUAGUAAAUGUUGUAUAAAUAGCAAGGAAAUUAGUCAGUACUUCUUUUAUCAAAACAAAAGCAAUACGGAGGUAUUGGCGAUUUGACCAGAAGAGAAUCAAAUCUGCAAAAUCUAUUUUAAGAAUAUUUAUUGCCUGGAAAGGCGAAGCCUGAUUAUACGUGAUAAAUUGGAAUAUUAUCAAGCUAAGGAUGUCAGUAAAUAGUGAAUAUGGCACAACUCAAGAGAACCGCCCGGAAAUGGGUUUUUGGCAAAGGCAGGGAAAAGGCGCAUCACCCAAGCUGAGACUGCUAGACUACGCUGCUUGUUAGUACGAGCUAUAGUUAUUAUAAUGGUCUAAAAUCAGACUUCCAUUUAUGUAAUAAAGUUGGACUCGGUAGUAAUGUUGUAAGACAAGCGACCCUGGACUUGUGGGGCAAGAGUUGGAUUAUGUAAUAUUAAUAUGUAAUUCGAGUGUUGUUUUGAGCCAGAUGUUUAGUGGCGGACCAGAUCUGCGGGAUGUGGAUCUGGGGGCGUCACAGAUUUGGUAUCAGAGCUGUAGUUAUAUCCUUAGGAUUUGAGAAACCCUAGGAAUAUGACGAGCGAGAAUGAUAAGAAGUUUAAGAUGGAUGCUUUAGUUAAACCAAUCUCCGUAUGUUAUAGUAUAUACGUGCCAAGUAAACUUUUAGCAAAAGGGUUAGUAGACGCUAUAGAAAUAUAUAUUUAUAUGUAUGUAUGUAGAAGAACAUACGAACCAGUAGAGUCAAUGGACUCUAUAAAGUUAUAUGCUUAUGUAUAAACCCCGAGCAACUUUGAGUAAUUUUUGUAUAUAAUGUGUAGAUGUCAGGUUAUGAGGCUGAUUCUGAUUUUGAUCCAUUGACGAAGAUUGAGAUGAUAGAUAUCGAGUAUGAGAAUUCUCCUAUACAGAUAUUAGAGCCACUGGCACCUGAGAUCAUUAACUUAGUAUCUGAGGAGAUCAAGGAUAGAGAAUCUUUUGAGUUCACUAAGAGUGCUUGGAUAAAUAUCUUUCUAUCCUUACCUGAGAUGACUUAUGUUCCUACUUUGACCACUUCCUUUUCGAUUAACACUUCUACUGUUCCUCCACCUAUUUUUGAGAGUGAGGACCCCUCCAUUUUAGACUUGCUUCAACAUUUUGAGCUUACACCUCUUCCAUAUAGCCCUGUUACCACACAUACUUCUGAUCAUUGUCAUUUUGGGACUUUUAUGCCAUUUUUAAUUUGAAAUGCUUCUAUAACACCUUUGAGUAGUCACACCCGUGUUUACACCAUACCUGAACCUCGAUUUUGAGUUACACUCCUUGUUACCACCAUGUCAGAGACUUGUGUACCAUUUACUUUUAUAUCCACUAUUUCAGUUUCUGCACCUCGGGCCACUCUUUGUCAGAUUAGACAAUCUUUCUAUGCACCAGUUUCUGUACCAUCAGGUGGCAACCAUGUGCCACUUUCUUUGAUCCAUUAGUACCAGCUGUUGAGAGAGUCUGCUUAUGACUCUAGAUUUGGGAUUCCAGGAUCUUACGAUCCUAUGUUUGCUCUGCGGGUUCAGGAUUUCUGACCCGAGUGUUUUGUAUGGAGAUUGUGUAUAAGAAUUCUAUUUAUAUAUUAAAGGGACUCCGUACUGAUAUCAGUGAGAUACCCUCCACCAGCUCAUGAUAUGUAAAUGUUAAACUUGUUACAAUGCUGAUAAAUAGAGCCUUUUCUGAGUUCCAACAUAGGGUCUCAGAGAUAUUUGGAUGAUAGAUUUGUUUUUUUGACUUUUGAGAGAUAUAUAGUCUGUAUGUAUCUCAGUUAUAGUGUAUGAUGUAUCUAGAGGAUUUAAAGACACCAUAUAGUAUCGGAAUAGAGGAUCAUGCGCUUCUUUAGAUACAAAUGCUACAGUUUCGAUCAGUAGAUCAUUUUGGCAGUAGAGAUUUAUAUAAAGUGAUCUUUUGUAUAGUGAUGUCCAGAUUAGAUUUGAUGUAGUAGGGUGAUGACCAGAUCAGAUAUAUUUCUAUAACAUGACUUGUACCCUAGAAGUUUCGGAUAUUAUGACCAUUUUGGGAAGGAUGGUCAAUCUUGUUGUCAUAUUGGUGUCUCUUUCUUUGUCUAUACAUUCCCUAUGAUUCUUGCAGUCGUCAACUACUUUUAACCUGUUUCAUUUCUGUCACUAUCUUGCAUUUGCUACAUCAAUGGUCCAAUGUGAAAUCUUAUAGGGAAAAAAAAAGGGUAUGUGUUCAACCUUUAUAGUUUUUAAAUGUUUCUAAAAAGAGAAAUGUUCAAGUUGCUGAAGUUUUGGAGUUUUCAAAAGAAAAGAUGCAACCUUUAAAGUUUCUAAAAAAAAAAAAAAAAAUUCCAAAAAUAUGCAGCUUGUCUUUUCAACCAAAAUAGGCAACCUAUUUUCAAAAGUUUUAUACUGUGUAUUUUUCAAAACUGCGCCUUGUUGUACCUUUAGGUAAACCCUGUAUUUUGUAUAAUGAUGAAACCUAUUAAACUGUUUUGUCUACUCUUAUAGAUUAAGAUGGAUUCAAACCUGAAUGACAAUCCUGUUGAUGAAUCAAUACCAAAUGCUUCACCUGGAUUUCAACCCAGACCCAAUUCUGUUUAAUCACUUGACAACAUACCCGGAAUUUUCAAAACAAUCCUGAAAGAAGUUUUUUCGAGUCAACUUACGAAACCUACCUUUCCAAUCAAAUCUUUCAAAUUUUUGCAACCCUAAGAGUUUAAAGGGAUUAUACAUCCCGUUGAAGCCAAGAUAUGGCUAAGAGAAAUAGAAAAGAUUGUUGAAAUAGUUGGUGUAAAAGAUGAUAAGGAAAACUAUCUUUGCUACUUAAUAAAGAGGCUAAUUAUCGGUGAGAAGCUAAGCAAGUUCUAGAAGAGUCUAGUGUGAUAUCAUGGACUAGGUUUACAAAGUUAUUCCUAGAGAAGUAUAUUUUUAAACAAGAGAGUCAUAUAGAGCUCAAAUUUCAAGAAACUAAGCAAGGGAGUAUGUUAAUAGCUGAACAUGAAGCUAAGUUUGAACUUUCGAAAUUUAUUCCACAUCGAGUAAAUACGGAUGAAAAGAAAGCUAAACAUUUACAGUCGGGCUUAAAGCCCUGGAUUCAGAGUAGGGUUACCGUUCACAAGAAAUCUAGCUAUGCGACUAAGUGCACAAAACUUGUAUAGUUGAGGCAAUAAUGAGUUGUUUAACAGAGAGAUUGUCGAUAGAAAACAAAAACCCUCGCAAAACAAUCAAAAUAGAAACUCCUGUAAAACAAUCAAAAUAUAUUAAAAAAAAAAAAAGGGAAACGUUAGACUCAUGGGGUGAAGAAACCUUUUGUGAAAUAAGAGACACCGCGAGCAGAAAAUAUAGGUGAAAUAGAAGGAAAUCAAAGAUUUAGAACUUUGCAAACCGCGAACGCGUUACAAGGGAGAUCCCCGUUUCCUGAGUAGAAGAUCUGUAGAAUACGCUAUUUAUGAAUAAUAUUACAUUUCACACUAUUUCAACUCAAGUUGGCAUCAACUCUCAUCUUGAAAACUGAGAAGUUUAUUCUUUAUCUUGAGUCCUUCCUUUGUUCGGAAGUGACUGCUCCUAAUAAUCAAUAUUUCUUUGAUGUUACAAAAUCUUUUGUGAUUCAUGAUUUAAUAUUCGAGAAUUGGAAUAAAUAUAUACCACAAUGAUGAUCUCAAUCAAUCUAAUAAUUCUAAGAGAUCAUCCCAUAUUUGAUCUUAUUUCCGAUUUUAUCCACUGAAAAUCCUUGAUUUGUGAUUAAAGGAUGCAUUGCUCGCAUUCCUUGAAAGAAGUAUGUUGAGAAGUAAUCAUGGUAGAUCAGGUUGGUCCAAUUUAUGAGAUAACGAUUCAAAAGCAAAUCUUUGAGAUAAAUCUUCCUUGAUAUUUCUUCAAUCUGAUUGGGAUGAACAACCCUAAUUAUAGGGGACACAAGGUAUUCCUGUCUGUGUGAUAGGAGUUGGAUGGGACGCCAUCACUUGUGUGUGUUGUAAUUACAAGAAGGUUAACAACCUUUAGUAGUGUCUUAAUUUGGACACGCAACACUUAGUUCAUUUGAUCAAAUUAUUCUCCCAGUCAUUCCUUUAAUUCGAAUGAAAGCUAGUUUGAAAAAUCAUUGAUCGAUGAUAUACCACUGUGAAAGACUUCCAAUAUAUCCAAGAAAGUUUUAUAAUUCUUAUUUCUUUUGAGUUCUCUUCAAAAUGCUCAGAUUUCAAAUUUUGUGAUUUUGUUCUUUUCAAAAAUACAAUUUUCUUUUAAAAGUGUUUCAAGAAGGACUUAUAUGGAGACAUCAAAUCCAGACCCUCGAAUUUGAGGAUUGUUACAUCGAUUAUCGAGAGUUAAAUAAGUCGACCCUUUACCUAGGGUUGAUGAUUUGUUUAAUCAAUUAAAGAGAGCAUCUUACUUUUUAAGAUUAACUUGAGAUCUGUAUAGCAUCAGCUAAAGAAUUGGGUCUGAGAAUGUACUAAGACGGCUUUUGGGACCUGAUAUGGACAUUAUGAGUUCUUAGUGAUGUCAUUUGGAUUGGGUAAUGCCCCUGAAACUUUUAUAGAUAUUAUGAAUAGAAUAUUUAAGAAAUAUUUUGAUAAAGUUCAUUAUUAUUUAUCAAUGAUGUUUUGAUUUAUUCAAAGACAAAAGAAGAGCAUGUAUCUUAGGAUAACUUGGAAAUUUUGAGGAAAGAAAAGUUAUAUGCAAAAUUUUUGAAAUUUUGAUAAAGCAAGUACAGUAAUUAGGGCAUAUAGUUUCCAAGAACGAAAAAUUGGUAGACCCCGCAAAGAUUGAGGCAAAUAUCAAAUUGAUAAAAAACUAAGGACCCAAUAGAAGUGGGAAGUCUCUUGGAUUAGCAGGAUAUUAUAAAAGAUUCGUAAAAGAUUUCUCCAAGGUUGCGAUUUAUUUGACCAAGUUGACUAGGAAAGAUAAGAAGUUUGAAUGGACCUUAAGUGCAAAGAGAAUUUUCAGGAAUUAAAGAAGCGACUUAAAUGGCCCUUAUGUUAACUCUACCUGACGAGACAUGAAAUUUUAUGAUCUAUAGUGAUUUAUCUCAUAAGGGACUAGGAUGUGUUCUUAUGCAAUAUGGAAAAGGUGAUAGCAUAUGCUUCAAGACAACUUAUGGAUUACAAGUUGAGAUACCCUGCCCAUGACCUAGAGUUAGGUACUAUAGUAUUUGCCUUAAAGAUUUGGUGACAUUACUUGUAUGAUAAGAAAUGUGAGAUAUUCACGGAUCAUAAGAGUUAAAAUACUUGUUUACUCAGAAAGAGCUGAAUUUGAGACAAAAAGAAACGGUUAGAAUUAAUAAAAGAGUAUGAUUGUACGAUUAACUAUCACCUAUGAAAAGCGAAUGUAAUUGCUGAUGCAUUAAGUUGGAAAGAAAAAAAUUUAAUAUGAUGUCUUUACCAAAAGAGUUGAUUAAGGGAUUGAAAGUUAAGGAUCAAAGCAUAAGGACGGAAGGAUUUACGAGAUGUUAGUACCACCAGAGUUACUAGAAAGGAAAAAAAAAGAGUCAAGAACUAAUGACUGAAGAGAGAUAUUCUGAAUUGACAGGCGAUGAAUACUUAAGUCUUAAAGAUGAAAAAAGAAUUAGGAGAUUUGCUAAUAGAAUUUGGAUUCCUAACAUAAUAGAUCUUAAACGAGAUAUUUUGAGUGAAGCUCACGAGUCAAGGUAUUCUAUACACCCAGGAAGCACUAAGAUGUACCAAGAUUUGAAGAGAAACUAUUGGUGGCCUAAUAUAAAAAAAAAUGAUUCGUUGAUUGGGUAAGUAGAUGUUUGACUUGUCAGAAAGUGAAAAUUGAGCAUCAAUGACCUAAUGGAUUGUUGCAACCAUUAGAUAUCCCAGAAUGAAAAUGUGAACACAUCACCAUGGAUUUCAUAGUAGCUUUACCAAGGACUAGAACUAAUCAAGACACUAUUUGGAUAAUCAUGGAUAGAUUGACAAAAUCUGCUUAUUUUCUUCAUAUUAGUGAGAAAUAUAUCCCUGAAAGAUUAGUAAAAUAUAUAUAUGAAUGAAGUCGUGUUGAAACAUGGAGUACUAGUAUAAAUUUUGUCGGAUAGAGAUGCAAGAUUUACAUCGAGAAUUUUGGCAAGCAUUUCAAGAAUUAAUGUUUUGGAACUAAGCCUAACCUGAGCACUGAGUAUCACCCUCAGACUGAUGGACAAAGUAAAAGAACUAUUCAGACUAUAGAAGAUAUGUUAAGAGCUUGUUCUUUGGAUUUUAAAGGAAGUUGGGAUGAUUACUUACCUUUAGUAGAGUUUGCGACAACAAUAGCUAUCACUCUAGCAUAGGAAUGACACCUUAUGAAGCAUUAUAUGGCAGACAGUGUAGAUCACCUCUUAUGUGGGAUGAAGUUGGAGAUAAAAGAUUAUAGGGCCGGAACUAGUUCAACACACUAAACAAUCAAUUGAAAAGAUACGAAAGAGACUAGUUGCAGCUCUGGAUAGACAAAAGAAAUAUGCAAAGUUAGAAAGAGAAGAGAAAGAAUUUGAUAUAGGAAAAAAAAUGCUUUUAAAAGUGUCGCCUUGGAAAGGAGUAAUUAGAUUCGGGAAGAGAAGUAAGUUAUAUAGGGUCAUUUGAAAUAUUAGAGAAAGUUAGAGCUGUUUCUUAAUAAUUAGCUUUACCCCCAGAUUUACAACAUAUUCACGACGUAUUGAGAGCUUACAAAACUGAUAAUUGUCAUGUUCUGAAUUGUGAGCCAAUAAAUAUCCAAUCGGACCGAACGUACGAAGCGAAACCAGUAGAGAUUGUAGAUUCAAAGAUUCAAGAACUAAGAAAUAAGAAAGUGAAGUUAGAAGAGGAUGUCACAUGGAGUGAGAAAACGAAAUGAGAAAGAAAUAUUCGGAAUUGUUUCAGCACCAAAUAUGAUUCCGAGGUCGGAAUCCUUUAAAGGAGGGAAGAAUGUAACAACCGAAAUAUUUACCAGUACCAAAAGCGUAAAAAUUAUUUUAUUUAAUUUCCAAUGUCAGAAAUAUUAAGUUAAACUCUAAAGUGUAUUAUUGUGCGGUACAUAAUAUUUGAUGUUGGCCAGUGAUUUAAUUAGAUGCGUGCGUCAACAAUAUGAAUAUUCAUGAAUAUGAGUAAUAGACACGAAAUUUUAAUAAAAUUUCAUGACUCAUUAAUAUUAUACUCACUGGUACACAAAAUAGUUGACAAGCUUAAUUAAUUAUCGAGUAGAAAGAGCUACAAUAUUAUUCUCUAAUUUAAUUUAUAAAAUAUUAAAACAUUGUAGUUGAGAAAAGAUUUGAGAAAACACGAGGUGUUAUAUUGUGCGGGUCCGAUAUUUAGAUUGAACACGAGAGUUUUGUUUAUACAAGAAUAUAGUAGUCUCGGAUAUCUAUUUAUAUACUGACCGGUGAAUAAUCUACAUUCUAGUCGAAAUAAUUUAUUUAUAUAUAUUUGGAAUUUAUCAGAAAUAUUAAAAUAAAUAAUAGUUGAUUUAUUUAUUCUUUUUGUAAAAUAUUUAAAUAUUUAAAUAUUUGUCGGACAAAAACCGAAACGAGAAUAAACGAGCCAAGCCGUGGAAUAUUUUUAACGUAGCGGGACUUGAGCCCAAGUUUCGAAACUUGGAGCCCGAGGCUACUGAGUAACGCCCAAGAAAAAUUGUGUAGCCUCCAAGUAAACAAAUAAAUUAAAAGUGAUUAGUGGAGUAUUAGCAAGUGCUAAAGUAUGAUUAAAUACUAAUGGUAAUUAGUAAAUGUUGUAUAAAUAGCAAGGAAAUUAGUCAGUACUUCUUUUAUCAAAACAAAAGCAAUACGGAGGUAUUGGCGAUUUGACCAGAAGAGAAUCAAAUCUGCAAAAUCUAUUUUAAGAAUAUUUAUUGCCUGGAAAGGCGAAGCCUGAUUAUACGUGAUAAAUUGGAAUAUUAUCAAGCUAAGGAUGUCAGUAAAUAGUGAAUAUGGCACAACUCAAGAGAACCGCCCGGAAAUGGGUUUUUGGCAAAGGCAGGGAAAAGGCGCAUCACCCAAGCUGAGACUGCUAGACUACGCUGCUUGUUAGUACGAGCUAUAGUUAUUAUAAUGGUCUAAAAUCAGACUUCCAUUUAUGUAAUAAAGUUGGACUCGGUAGUAAUGUUGUAAGACAAGCGACCCUGGACUUGUGGGGCAAGAGUUGGAUUAUGUAAUAUUAAUAUGUAAUUCGAGUGUUGUUUUGAGCCA